CUGACCUACCAUGGCUGACCAGAGGCAGCGCUCACUGUCCACCUCCGGGGAGUCUCUGUACCAUGUGCUUGGACUCGACAAGAACGCCACUUCAGACGACAUUAAAAAGUCCUAUCGGAAGCUCGCGUUGAAGUACCACCCUGAUAAGAACCCCGACAACCCCGAAGCCGCGGACAAGUUCAAGGAGAUCAACAACGCCCACGCCAUCCUGACGGACGCCACUAAGAGGAACAUCUACGACAAGUACGGCUCGCUGGGGCUCUAUGUGGCCGAGCAGUUCGGGGAGGAGAACGUCAACACCUACUUCGUGCUCUCCAGCUGGUGGGCCAAGGCCCUGUUUGUCGUCUGCGGGCUGUUCACGUGCUGCUACUGCUGCUGCUGCCUCUGCUGCUGCUUCAACUGUUGCUGUGGCAAGUGCAAGCCGCGGGCACCCGAGGGCGAGGAGACCGAGUUCUACGUGUCCCCCGAGGACCUGGAGGCACAGCUGCAGUCCGACGAGCGGGGAGGGCACUGACUGUGCGGGCGUGUUUGUGGUGGCAGCGGGACUGUGUGUGAACUGGACCUGGAGAGGCCACAGACACGCCCAUCGUCAUCCAGCCAGCCUCGGCCACAGAGACCACCCAGCUCACGACCGACUCCCACCCCAGCUACCACACUGACGGUUUUAACUAAGUCCAGAGAAGCCGUGACGAGCAAUGGUCAGCGCCCGGCCACGGCCACCUUAGAAUCAUGAACUGUAGUCCCGCCUCUGGGCCUCCCACCCGUCCACCCCGACAGUCCAGCCGAGUGCGUAGCAUGCGGUGUUGAAAGCUCCCGCCGCGGCCUCCCUCCUCCCCCGAGUAGCAUGUCUGGGUCCGUCCCCGUGUCUGGACUGCUCGCGGCCUGAC